rnacentral:rRNA from 1 species
AUUGAACGCUGGCGGCAGGCUUAACACAUGCAAGUCGAGCGGGGUGAUGGUGCUUGCACUAUCACUUAGCGGCGGACGGGUGAGUAAUGCUUAGGAAUCUGCCUAUUAGUGGGGGACAACAUCUCGAAAGGGAUGCUAAUACCGCAUACGUCCUACGGGAGAAAGCAGGGGACCACUGGUGACCUUGCGCUAAUAGAUGAGCCUAAGUCGGAUUAGCUAGUUGGUGGGGUAAAGGCCUACCAAGGCGACGAUCUGUAGCGGGUCUGAGAGGAUGAUCCGCCACACUGGGACUGAGACACGGCCCAGACUCCUACGGGAGGCAGCAGUGGGGAAUAUUGGACAAUGGGGGGAACCCUGAUCCAGCCAUGCCGCGUGUGUGAAGAAGGCCUUAUGGUUGUAAAGCACUUUAAGCGAGGAGGAGGCUCUUUUGGUUAAUACCCAAGAUGAGUGGACGUUACUCGCAGAAUAAGCACCGGCUAACUCUGUGCCAGCCGCCGCCGUAA